UUAUUUAUUUGUGUAUAUCUACAAUUUAGGUAGAGGGCUUCAUGAACAUCAUGGCCAUGCAUUUAGUUUUUUCUCAAAAAUAUAUGGGAGUAGAGAAGAUUUUCGAAGAUUUUAAUUAACAAAUUUUCACUAUAUGGCCAUAUUAACCCAUGAUUUUCACAAUUUAGAUAGAGGAUUUUAUGAGGAAAGAAGAUUUUCUAAGAUUAAAUACAUUUUCACUUUAUGGCCAUAUCGGCCCUGCCCUAGGGCCUGAACUCCUGGGGGUCACGAUUUUCACAAUUUUAGUAGAGGGCUUCAUGGACAUCAUAAUCAUGCAUUUAGUUUUUCCCCACAUGUGGGUAGUAGAGAAGAAGAUUUUGAAAUACUUGGUCUUUUUUGUCAUAUUUGGCCACACCCAUGAGGCCCCCGGGUUUGUAAAGUCAUAAGUUUCACAGUUUAGAUUCCUCUUAUCCUGGAGAUGCUUUAAAUCAAAAAUUGUAACAGCUAAUUGGCCAUAUACGGUAGUUUUUAAGAAGAAGUUAAAAAUGUAAAACUGUUAAUGCAUGACCAAUUGAUGACAGACAAAAACCAAUUGCUACCUAAUAACCUAAUAAAUCUGUAGAAAACAAACUAUAAUUAUAGGAUCAUCCUUCUGUUAGUAUAACCAUUAUUUUCAGGAUCGUUUGCUUCUACAAUCAUUAAAUAUUAGUUAAACUUGUGAAUCUGAAUUACUGGCAUAUCUCACUAUGCAGUGACCUCAGAGGUCACUACCUUGGAAUGCUAUAAGUAGGCAUGCGCAAGUCAACAAUUUCGGGGAAACUUGGUCCGAAAGUGAAAUUGAGUGAUUCAGACAACAGUUAGUAAGUGCAGGAUAUUGAUAGGGGUUCAAAUCGAUUGAUGGAAUGAAGUGAAAGAAGAAUCAAAAAGACUUAAGAAUUUUUUCCCUUAAAGACAACCUCCCCACCUUUCCUCGGUAUGAGCAAAGUGUGACUACCUUAGUGAAAUCUCCGCAAGUUGCAUCAGUUCCUGUUCCUGAAUGGCCAAGGUCACAUAUCUUACAGUGAGGUGAGCAAUGGCGCUCGUCUUGUGGGCCACGUAGGCAUCCUUCUCGUACGAUACAGGGUCAGUGCUGAAGAACUGAGGGAUUGGUGCUGCAAGGCUGGAAUGGCAGGUGCCCUGUGGCAGUGUGGUAGAUAGUCACCCCUAGACUCCACAGGUCAACAACGGCUCCAAAAUCCUGGCUUCUCUCUCGCCGCAAUACUGCAUGCUCAUACAUAUUUGGAUCCUACAAGAAAAUUUCAACUGGCUAACAGCAAGUCAGGUGCCCAACACAACCACUCUAGACAACUAUGAAAGUUAAAGGUUUUGGUUAAUAUGAAAAUCAGCCAAUUAAUUAAGUGCAUCAAUUAGGCCCCUCCAACCCAUGCAGAUUGAGUUAUCCAAUGACAUUCCAGGAACCAUAGAAAGUAAAGAAGAGUUAGAGCAAUGUUGUGCCAAAAGUUGAUGUAACUUUAUCCACAUUGACAAAGAAAAUGCAACCAAAUGCAAAUAAACAUUCACCAUGGAUUGAGUCAAGGCUCCAACACAAUGACUGUAAUCAUGCCAGACACUUUAAAAUUGCAUAAGACAAACAUUAUGUCGAAGAUCGUAUAUAAUAAUCAUGUGGCUUACUCGAUCAAGCGCAGUAUGUCGAGACAACCAUGUGUCAAUCAAAGAUUGUUUGCAAUACAUGUACAUUCAUUGACUCAAGUAGUAUUAGACAAGCACAAUGCAUGUCAAAGAUGGUUCAUUGUAUGUGAUUCCUGACUUGAAUCAGUAA